UCCAGACUCCUACGGGAGGCAGCAGUAGGGAAUUUUGCGCAAUGGGCGAAAGCCUGACGCAGCAACGCCGCGUGAUCGAGACGCCCUUCGGGGUGUAAAGAUCUGUCAGUGGGGACGAAACUUGACGGUACCCACAGAGGAAGCACCGGCUAACUCCGUGCCAGCAGCCGCGGUAAUACGGAGGAUGCGAGCGUUAUCCGGAUUUAUUGGGUUUAAAGGGUGCGUAGGCGGAGUGUCAAGUCAGCGGUAAAAUUUCGGGGCUCAACCCCGUCGUGCCGUUGAAACUGACACCCUUGAGUGAGUGAGAAGUAAGCGGAAUGCGUGGUGUAGCGGUGAAAUGCAUAGAUAUCACGCAGAACGCCGAUUGCGAAGGCAGCUUACCGGCGCUCAACUGACGCUGAGGCACGAAAGUGCGGGUAUCGAACAGGAUUAGAUACCCCCGUAACU
rnacentral:rRNA from 1 species